rnacentral:tRNA from 1 species
GAGGGUAUAGCGCAACUGGUAGAGUGCAUGCUUUGCAUGUAUGAGGUCCUGAGUUCAACCCCCAGCACCUCCA